rnacentral:rRNA from 1 species
AUGGGAAACAACCUUCCAAAUCUACAGCUCUUCUUUGCAAGUGAAAAUAAAUUCCAUGGUCCUAUUCCUCCCUCUUUGUGUAAUGCCUCUAUGGUUCAAAUGAUUGAGCUCGUUCAUAACUCCCUAACAGGAACAAUUCCCAAUUGCCUGGGAAGUCACAUGAAGAGCCUGUCCGUAUUAACCAUCGCCCUAAACCAGAUUCAAGCAACACAAGAUGCCGACUGGGGCUUCUUGAUCAGCCUAAGCAAUUGUAGUAAUUUGCAAAUGUUGGAUUUAGGUGAUAACAUGCUUGAAGGUGAAAUACCGAGUUCGGUAGGCACCCUCUCCAGAAAUCUAGAGUACCUUAACAUGGAAGAUAACAGCAUAACGGGAAAGAUUCCUCAAGUAAUAGCAAACUUGACCAAUCUGCACACACUUGUGCUAUAUGGUAAUCAUUUAGAGGGUACUAUUCCAACUUCUCUUGGCAAAAUGAAGGGGCUAAAUUUGUUAAUCCUAGGAAUGAAUGACUUAUCAGGGUCUAUCCCUCCAACAUUCGGCAAUCUUACACAACUAAGCGAACUUGAUCUUAGUGGCAACAUGCUUAGUGGAAGCAUACCUUCUAGUCUUAUGUGGUGUCCACUACAAAAAUUAGACCUUUCAAACAACAGCCUUGUUGGUCCAAUACCUAGGAACCUAUUCCUUAUAAACACAUUGUCCAUCUAUAUGAAAAUCCAAAAUAAUCUAUUAACCGGGGAUUUGCCUAUAGAAUUAGGUAACUUAAAGAAUAUUGGGGAACUUGAUUUCUCCAGUAAUCUAAUAUCUGGAGAGAUUCCAAUCUCCCUUGGAGAGUGCCAAACACUGCAGUAUCUGAAUGUAUCUCGGAACAACCUUCAAGGGUCAAUUCCAUCAUCAAUCGAGAAGAUGAAAGCCCUAUUGAUGCUUGAUCUUUCCCAUAAUAAUCUCUCAGGGAGCAUCCCUGAGUUCCUCGGGAGCAUGGAAGGACUUGCUGGUUUGAAUCUCUCAUUCAACAACUUGGAGGGUGAGGUUCCAACGGAUGGGAUCUUCAGCAAUGCAGCUUCUGCCUCUGCCUCAGUUAUGGGAAAUGAUGGCCUGUGUGAUGGAAUCCCUCAACUGAAGUUGCCACAUUGCUCCAAUCUCACCACCAAGAAACCAACUCAGAAACUGGCCAUAAUAUUCUCCAUAUGUGGUGCAGUUGUAUUUAUUGCAUUGGUAUUUGCACUGUCGACAUUCUACAGUAAGAGGAGGAAACUGAAAGCAAACAAGCAAACAUCAUCCAUCAACGAGCAAUAUUUGAGGGUUUCUUAUGCUGAACUGGUCAGUGCAACUAAUGGUUUUGCUUCAGAGAACCUCCUUGGUGCCGGAAGCUUCAGCUCAGUGUACAAGGGAACAAUGAUGAUGAAUGACCAGCAGGUAGUGAUUGCUGUGAAGGUGCUCAACCUCAUGCAGCGAGGUGCAUCUCAAAGCUUUGUUGCAGAAUGUGAGACCCUGAAAUGCGUUCGACAUAGGAAUCUUAUGAAGAUAGUAACGGUGUGCUCAAGCAUUGAUUUUCAAAAUCGUGACUUCAAGGCCCUUGUGUACGAAUACCUACCAAAUGGAAAUUUAGACAAAUGGCUACACCACAAUCCCAUGGAAGAUGGUGAAAAUAGGAGACUACAUUUCCGUGUGAGACUGCAGAUUGCAGUUGAUGUAGCAUUAUCACUCGAAUACCUUCACCAACAUAAGCCAAUGCCAGUUAUUCACUGUGAUCUUAAGCCAAGCAAUGUUCUCCUUGAUGGUGAAAUGGUUGCUCAUGUUGGUGACUUUGGGCUUGCAAGGUUUCUACAUCAAGGCUCAGAGGAAACAACUAGUUGGGCAUCAAUGAGAGGCACAAUAGGCUAUGCCGCUCCAGAGUAUGGACUGGGCAACGAAGUUUCAAUUCAUGGUGAUGUCUACAGCUACGGCAUACUGUUGCUGGAGAUGUUCACUGGAAGAAGGCCAACAGACAGCAAAUUUGGAGAAUCCUUGGGCAUUCACAAGUAUGUGCAAAUGGCAUUGCCAGACAGGGCAACAGAGGUCAUAGACCGACACUUACUAGCAGAGACAGAAGAUGGGGAAGAAAGCACCUCAAACUCUGACAGCAUCGUGGAUCUGAGAAUUGCUUGCAUCACUUCAGUCCUGUGCACUGGGAUUUCGUGCUCACAAGAGACACCAACGGAUCGCAUCCAAAUUGGGGGUGCUCUGAAAGAGUUGCUGGCAAUAAGAGACAGAUUUGACAAGGAGUUGUGUGCGGAAGGCGAGCCAGCAAACUAA